UUUAAAGUCUAAUCUGCCCUAUGAAGGAUUAAAUGGCCGCGGUAUUUUGACCGUGCAAAGGUAGCAUAAUAAUUAGUUUUUUAAUUGAAAGCUGGAAUGAAUGAUUGAACGAGAAAAUAACUGUCUCAAUUUAAUUUUAUUAGAAUUUUAUUUUUAAGUAAAAAAGCUUAAAUUUUAUUAGAAGACGAGAAGACCCUAUAGAGUUUUAUAAAGAGGUUAUUUAUUAAUUUUUAAGAAUUAUUUUAUUAGUAUUUAAUAAUUUAUUUUAUUGGGGCGAUAGAGAAAUUUUAUAAACUUUUUUUUUAAAAAUAAACAUAAAUUUAUGAUUUUAUGAUCCAUUAAUUAUGAUUAAAAGAUUAAGUUACCUUAGGGAUAACAGCGUAAUUUUUUUUUAGAGUUCUUAUCGAAAAAAAAGGUUGCGACCUCGAUGUUGGAUUAAAAUUUAUAUUUGGUGUAGAAGCUGAGUAAUUAGGUCUGUUCGACCUUUGAAAUUUUACAUGAUCUGAGUUUAAACCGGCGUGAGCCAGGUUGGUUUCUAUCUUUAAUAAUAUUAAAAUAUUUUAGUACGAAAGGACCAGAUAUUUAUAAUAAUUAUUAUAUUUUGAUUUAUAUUAG
rnacentral:rRNA from 1 species